GCGGCUCCUCCGCCCGCCGCCUGCAGCUCCGCCCGCCGCCUGAGCCUCGGCGAGCCCCGCGCGCGCGUGCACGGGCUCGGGCGCACCCGGGUGGCCGUGGCACCACGUCGCCGCGCCACCUCCUCCUUCCCCCGCUCUCCGCUCCGCCCGCUCCCUUUCUCCCCGCCCCUUCUCCGGCAGCCGGGAGCGCCAACGACCCCCGAGCGCUGCGGCGGGGUAGUUCGGGAGGACGUCAGGCGGAAGGAAGGAGGGAAGGAGGGAGGCAGGCCGGAGCACGCCGAUUGGAAGCAGCCUGACCGCGGUUGAGGAGCAGCGGGUCCGGUGCCUCUCACAGCUUCUGGAGGGACGCUGGGGAGAGGGUCGCUCCGGGGCAAGCGGGCUGGGGUCCAGGAAUCUGAAUUAUUAAAACUGCCCAGGUGAUGCUCUUUACCAAGGAAUUCUGGCAAAUAUUGAGUUCAAGUACUCUUCCAAGUAUUCCUGGAGUCUCCCAGUAGGGAAAGUUGCCCUGCAUAGAUUCAAGCCUCACCAUCUACAGGAAUAAUGAAGCCCUCACACCCUCUGAUUCUUUAACAUUCAAUGAUAAGAGGGAUGAAUGCCUGCUACAGUAACUAGAAGGUUCUCAAAGUACUGACUAGAUAUUGAUGGAAUCUGAAAAAUGAAGAGACGCUUGAAGGAUGUGAAAGAGGAAACUUAAAGAGAAACCCAGAUGGUACAUCUCUCUACCAGGCUUGGAAAAAGAGAGCCUCCAACCUGCUGCACAGUUUGGGGAGCCUUGACACUCUACCUAUAAUGAGUCAUCGAUGAAGAGCCACGGCCUCAGGCUCCCAACCUAGAGCGUGCAGUCACAGGAACGUGGGAUGGAUGGCGCAGAGGUUAAGUGCACUUGGAACCACAGGACCAUGGGCCUCACCAAGCAUCCUUAUGUCUCAGCACCUCAUAUAUGACAUAAGAAUAGGAAUCAUUCUUUCUUGUUAAGUAAUUAGUGUUAAUAUUUGUUAUAGACUGGAUGUUUAUAUCCCCUCAAAAUUCUAAUGUUGAAAUCCUAACCCCAAUGUGAUGGAAUUAGGAAGCGGGGUGUUUGGGAGGUGAUUGGCCAUAAGGGUAGAGCCCUCAUAAAUGGGAUAAGUGCCCUUAUAAAAGAGACCCUUCCACCAUAUGAAGACACAGCGAGAAGACAACUGUCCAUAAACCAGCAAACAGGUCCUCACCAGACACCCAGUUUGCUAGCACCUUGAUCUUGGACUUCCCAGCCUCUAGAACUAUGAGAAAUAUAUGUUUGUUGUUUAAGCCACCCAGUCUAUAGUAUUUUUGUUAUAAAUACUACUAAGACAAUAUUAAUAUCAGCAUUAGUAUUAUUUUAGCUUUUUGGUCU